ensembl:lncRNA
AUGUCUGUCUGUCUAUAUGUCUGUCUGUCUGUCUAUAUGUCUAUAUGUCUGUCUAUAUGUCUGUCUAUAUGUCUGUCUGUCUGUCUAUAUGUCUGUCUGUCUGUCUAUAUGUCUAUAUGUCUGUCUAUAUGUCUGUCUAUAUGUCUGUCUGUCUAUAUGUCUGUCUGUCUUUCUGUCUAUCUGUCUGUCUGUCUGUCUAUCUAUCAUCUGUCUGUCUGUCUAUCUGUCUGUCUGUCUGUCUACCUAUCAUCUGUCUGUCUGUCUAUCUAUCAUCUGUCUAUCUAUCAUCUGUCUGUCUGUCUAUCUGUCUGUCUGUCUGUUUAUCUAUCAUCUGUCUGUCUAUCUAUCUAUCAUCUGUCUGCCUGUCUAUCAUCUGUCUGUUUGUCUAUCUGUCUGUCUGUCUUUCAUCUGUCUGUCUGUCUUUCAUCUGUCUGUCUGUCUAUCCGUCUGUCUGUCUGUCUACCUAUCUUCUUUCUUUCUGUCUAUCUCGACUCUUUCUAUCUAUCCUCUUUCUGUCUGUCUAUCUUUCUGUAUAUCUGUCUGUCUGUAUGUCUGUCUAUCUUUCUGUCUUUCUGUCUAUCUGUCUAUCUAUCUGUCUAUCUAUCUGUCUAUCUGUCUGUCUGCCUGUCUAUGUAUCAUCUGUCUGUCUGUCUGUCAGUCUAUCAUCUGUCUGUCUUUCUAUCUUUCAUCUGUCUGUCUGUCUAUCCUCUGUCUGUCUGUCUAUCUAUUUUUUGUCUGUCUGUCUAUCUAUCCACUUUCUCUCUAUCUAUCUGUCUGUCUAUCUAUCUUUUUUCUUACUUUUUAUCUGUCUGUCUGUCUGUCGAGCUGUCUAUCUAUCAUCUGUUUAUCUUUUUGUCUUUCUUUCUUUCUGUCUUUCUCUCUUCUUUCUUUCUUUCUGUUUCUCUUUCUUUUUUUCUUCUUUCUUUCUUUCCUCUCUCUGUCUGUCUUUCUGUCUUCCUCUCAUCUGUCUGUCUGUCUAUCUUCUUUCUGUCUGUCUGUCUUUCUGUCUGUCUACCUAUCAUCUCUCUGUCUGUCUAUCUGUCUCUCUGUCUGUCUGUCUUUCUAUCGUCUGUCUGUCUGUCUGUCAUCUGUCUGUCUGUCUAUCUUGCUGUCUGUCUGUCUACCUAUCUUCUGUCUGUCUGUCUUUCUAUCAUCUGUCUAUCUGUCUGUCUUUCUUUCUGUCUAUUCUCUUUCUGUCUGUCUAUCUUUCUGUAUAUCUGUCUGUCUGUAUGUCUGUCUAUCUGUCUGUUUGUCUGUCUAUCAUCUGUCUGUUUGUCUAUCUGUCUGUCUGUCUAUCCUCUGUCUGUCUGUCUAUCUCAUCUAUCUGUCUGUCUAUCUUUCUUCUGUCUAUCUAUCAUCUGUCUUUCUAUUUUUUUAUUUAUCUUUCUAUCUAAUCUUUUGUCUUUCUGUCUGUUUAUCUAUCUUCUUUCUAUCUGUCAUCUGUCUCUCUGUCUAUCUAUCUUCUGUCUGUCUGUCUGUCUUCCUAUCUUCUGUCUGUCUGUCUAUCUAUCCACUUUCUCUCUAUCUAUCUGUCUGUCUGUCUGCCUGUCUGUCUGUCUGUCUAUUAUCUGUCGGUCUUUCUAUCUGUCUGUCUUUCUUUCUAUCUUUCUGUCUGUCUAUCUGUCUUUCUAUCUAUCUAUCUAUCUAUCAAACUUUAAGCUUUUAAAACAACUUUAA